rnacentral:lncRNA from 1 species
UUCAAAUAAAACGGGGAACAAAAAUUGGAACUGAUGAAGGAACUCGAUGGAAAGCAAGACUUUCAAGAGCAUACUUUAGACACUUUUGAAGUAUUUGAAGAAUUCUCAAACCUUGAUUCUGAUGAUUCAAAAUACAGUCUGAAAGCUUGAGGAAGAAAAUAUUGAAUUUGCUAAAAAAGCGAAACUUGAUGCCAUGAACUUCACUUACUUCGAUGGCCAGGAUCAACUGAGUGAAGAUGGUGGUGAUGGUGAUGAUGGUGAUUUUGAUUCUUCGGGCGAUGAAGAUUACGGAGACGAUGGAACAUCCAAUGAAAACAGUCUGUGCAGCAGCAUGUCCAACUGCCCAGUUUUGUUCACGACUUAAAACACAUUUGAUUACUGUAGCGUUUAAAGAUGAAAUUGAAAACCGUGCUCGUCGGGAAAAGCGCCUUUGAACAUAUUUAUGGAAAAGGUGCUAUAGAAGUUUAAUACAUUAUUAUUAUUUAUUAUUAUUCUUUGUGCCCUCCCCCCCCCUGGUGUUAAGGUAAUACUCUGGAGGGGGUCGGGCCUGUCUGUCUAAAAUCAUAUCUCGAACAAGUCAGUCGAAAUACAAUCAGCGUCACAGUCUCCAUACUAGUGUCAUCUUUAUUCUUUACAUCUUAAAUUCGGUAAGGUAUAUUAAGACACGAUUCCUUCCGAACAUGGUCCUUCGAAACCUUCUUUUGAACCGGUAUAUUUUGUGAAUCUGAUUGAAACAAGAACGCUCGAGAACGCCUUUCGGCAAAGCGUUCAUUUCACAAGUUUCAAUCAUCCCCUUGAAAGCUCUUUAAAAAUGGUUUUAUCAGUUAAGCAAUGGUACCUAAUCAAAGAAUGUGUGGAGAAAAACCCAUUGUCCAGGGUGGCUACGUUAUGGAACAUUCGAAUGCACGCUAAAAGUUUAAAUCAACAGCAAUCGGUCGAUAGAGAAAUGUUGAGUGAACUGAAUUUAUCAUCCUCUCCAACUUAUGGAUUCUCUUCAGACAUUAUUCACAACCCAGAUCUCUACGAAGAAGUACAUGACCUGAGCUUGACCGACCCAGGAUAGGAUGACAACUUUGGACCAACCAACCCAAGGUUGAACAAGAUCUACAGACAGAGAAUUUUGGAUCCCUCCAUGCCGGAAGAAUAUAGAAGAAAAAUGGAUGUGUUGAGCUCUAUUCACCCAAGAUUGAUCACUGUGGAAGAAAUCGCUCCACAAGUGAUCAAUGGAGUCCUUCACUAUGAGAAAGCUUACAAUGUCUCAAUAACUAAAGAAGAAUUUGCUAUCGAAAUCGAAUUUGUCAACGUAAAGGGGAUUCAAUCUUGGAAACUGAUCCAAGAAAUGCCACAAGCAAAUAAAAGGAGACGCCUACAAACCAUCUAAAGCGAAAACAGCCCAACAUUGAAGCACCAAAAAUUGUUCCCAUUCGAUUGUAAAUCAAAUUAAAAAACUGUAUGUACUUACAUCUCAUGUAUAUAGUUUUAGGAUGCAGUAAACUCGUAGAAAUUACAAACCUUUUUACCGCAUAACUUAUUUUGACAAUAUUUUGCUAACUCUUCACAGACAUCACUUUGAAAUACAUUCAACAUGGAUCAUCACAAAAUAAAUUUCUACCUUUGUCAAUUGUAAGUAUUUUAGUAACCUAACAUGCUUAAAGGAAGCUAAAUUUAGAUUAAAUUUUAAGGUUUGGACACCUCCACCAAUCUAUAACCACCCCAGUGUGCCCUGGUAAGUAAAACUUAAAUCUAAUGAGAAAAAAUAAUUUCAUAACCCAAUGUUUUAAUUCUAUUUAGAAUUGGGAGAGGAGGAAUUAGUUGAUGAUAGAUCUGUCGAUUUUGAUUACCCUGAUGGAGCUGAUAUGGAGUACGAGGGAGACCAACCCCAAUUUGAUGACUUUGACAUAAUUGGUAACUAAAAUUGUUAUAGCUUUAAUUUAAAAAACUAAUUCAUACCUUUACAGAUGAAAACGAAGAAAUGGAGGAGACUGGGGAGAGUGGUAGUGAUGAUUCAGGCGAAGAACCUGCUGAAAGUUCAUCAGGUAAGAAUGAUGAGGGUAGCCUAAGCGAAAAGAGAAAGUUUUAAUUAAUUCAAUUUCAAUUUUAGAGAACGAAGGGCAGCCUGAAGCAAAACGCAUG